rnacentral:rRNA from 1 species
GAUGAACGCUGGCGGCGUGCCUAAUACAUGCAAGUCGAGCGAACAGACGAGGAGCUUGCUCCUCUGACGUUAGCGGCGGACGGGUGAGUAACACGUGGAUAACCUACCUAUAAGACUGGGAUAACUUCGGGAAACCGGAGCUAAUACCGGAUAAUAUAUUGAACCGCAUGGUUCAAUAGUGAAAGACGGUUUUGCUGUCACUUAUAGAUGGAUCCGCGCCGCAUUAGCUAGUUGGUAAGGUAACGGCUUACCAAGGCAACGAUGCGUAGCCGACCUGAGAGGGUGAUCGCCCACACUGGAACUGAGACACGGUCCAGACUCCUACGGGAGGAAGAAGAAGGGAAUCUUCCGCAAGGGGCGAAAGCCUGAAGGAGAAACGCAGCGUGAGUGAUGAAGGUCUUCGGAUCGAAAAACUCUGUUAUUAGGGAAGAACAAAUGUGUAAGUAACUAUGCACGUCUUGACGGUACCUAAUCAGAAAGACACGGCUAACUACGUG